AACAGGGGGAAGUUAGAAUCAAAUCCACAACCUUCCGAUUGCAAGACAAACCUUUCCACCCACUAAGCCAAAGUCACCCCAACUUGGAACAACUUUAAACAUUGAACAACUUUCAAAAGUUUUUUUAACUUAUUUACGAUGAACAAUAGUAUUUACCCUACAAACAACAUUUCUGUGUGAACCUAAAAGCCUGCAACAAAGUACACAAAAAACUUCUGAAAAUGCACUUUAAAGAGGUUCAUUUCAUAUACUAUGAAUGCGCCAUAGAUGGCUUUAUGUCUGGGUGUGGCUACAUUGUUAGAACCUCAAAGUACCCCAGAGUAUGACAGAUCUUGAUAGUGUUCCUUUGAGGACAAGUGCUUCUUUCUAUCAGCCUCCUCUGUUCCCAGUGAGAGCCUUUUUGAGGAAUUGAUUUUGUGUUGUUUUAAGAGCCAAGCUCGACUGCCACCAUUUCUGGUAACCUCGGUUUCUUAAUCACAUUACAGUCUGCCUGAAAAGCUUUGCUAUCUUCUUACAGCCUUUCCGGUCUUGAUACUUUCACAGUUCUGUGAGCAUCUUUGGAAACGUCUGUGAAUGCUAUACGUCAAGAUAAAGCUUUAGUAUUUGCAUCAUUUGCCCUUUCCAAUAACAAGCUCCAAAAUAUAUGUCUUUAAAAAAGCUGCAUUUUUUCCCCCCAUGAUUUUAAUAUACAAAUAUGAGAAACAUAACAUAACACAUCAAACAUAUUCCUAAAUUAUUAUAUAGAAUACUCUCAUCAAUCUGUUAAUUUGUUAACUUUAAAAUUCCAAUUAGCAUAAAUCUUCCUGAAUGGGUCCAAAUGUUUACCUUUCAUGCUGCAAACUGUAAUGAGUGUUUUUAGGUCCGGAAAUUAGGAUGAAAUACAUUGUAUUAUAUGAUUGUGCAUUUUACCAUUAGUAAAGUACACCUUUUAGGCUUGUUUUAGGCUACAGUAACAUCAGAGGGGAGGAGCAGUGAGACAGAGGGAAGGAGCCUAUAUUUAGAAGCACUGCGUGGUGAGAAGUGGGUUCCCUUACCGGCAGAAACUAGCCAGGGGGGGGGGGGUAGGGGGCAGAUUCUGUCUGACGGGUGCGCCCCACUUUGACACGCUCACAGACUCUGAGACAAGAGAAAAACGAUCCCAGCAGUGAGCCAAAAUGUGUCUGAAGAGGUAAAAGCUCCAUUAAACAUGUUCACUGCUCAGACGUUGAGUGCAUUCUUUGAUUUGCUUGAUGUAAAUGGGACCAAUGAGAAUGACAUGUUAAGAAUAAACUAUUGCCUUUUAGUUACUAUCUCAUGACA